GUAGUGAAACUUUUGGGGAGCUCUGUAAAUGUGUACCCCCAGUCUUCCUCUCCACAAGUCUCAGUUUCCCUAGUGCUAAAGGAUCUGAGUGUUUGGGGCAGGACUCUUUAACAGUUGGCCCUCUAAAGACUGAAAUUCUGUUUUUGCCUCUAGCUUGCUUUGUGGUUUGGAGAAAUCACUGAUGCUCUUUGAGCCCAAGUUUUCUCAGCUGGAACAUGGUAGAUAACACCUAUCAUGGCAGGAGAGAUUCAGGUCAGACAGUACAAGGCCUGAAAAUGUCAGCUAACUGCGUCAUUGUUAGCAUGCCACCAGAAGGAACAGCAAGCAUUACCUCCCAGGUUAGGAGAAGUUUGGUUUCCAUGGAGAUUAAUGCUGUGGGCUGGGUUGGACCAGACCUUCAAGUCUUUCUGGGAAAAAUAAACUAGCUAGUUCCCUCCAGCCCUCUGGCUGUUGGUGCAGCUAGCCCCUGGCUCUGAGUACUUAGAGUUGAGAGCACAUAGGAAGCACAUAGGGGGAAGAAAUACGCCGUUCCCAACUCCUAGAAUCAUCUCCUGCUUCCAUUUCGAACACUGGAGGCCACCACCUGUGCACAUGCUGGGCACAUGAGAGGCUACCACUUCAAAGGCUCUGCCAACCCCAACUGCUUCCCUCUGUUCACAGAUGCCUUCUGUAGCCACUUGGCCAGUUCUCUCUUGGGCACUUGAGUCAUGAGUGAGGUUAGCAAGGCAGACAUGGGGAGAGCCAUGACAUUCUGGUGCCCUGCAGAGGCAAGCCACAGUCUCUGGUUGGUCUCCGCAGGGGCUUGCUGGAGAAGCAGCGGUGCUGUGCUGGACUGCCAGGAUUCACCCAGCUCCCUUCUGGGAACACCAGCCUAUAACUACAGCGGCAUCUUCUGAGUUAGUCACUCUCUAGUGUCACUCACCUUCCCCCUGGCCAAGAAAUGGCAGGACACUGAGCGGAGGCAAGAAGAGGUAUCAAAGAUUUGGGGUAGGAAUUUCAGCUGCAAACAUUUCUGAUCCUGGAACUGCAGCCUCCAGGAGAUGCAGCCUGCCCUCCAAGCCAUCCCUGUCCCUACCAGGCUCCUCCAGCAGCUGUGAUCUGGAGCUUGUCCAUUAGACCAGACCGACUGGCCAGUGAACCCCAGGGACCCACCCAUCUCUGCCUCCUCAGUGGUGGGAUUGUAAGGGCAUUCACCAUGCCUAUCCUUUCAAAUGGGCUCUGGAAAUAAGCUGUUUCUCAUGAUGUGUCCAUGCGGGUUCUGUACUGACUAAGCCAUCUCCUCAGCUCAGGAACUAGCCUUCAUGACCACCUGCUUCCUGCUAGGAGACUGGACAUUGACACGUGUGGUUUCAUUCCUCCAUAGCACAGCACAGCUGGAAGGGAGCAUUACUGAGUCCAUUUCUCAGGACACUUGUGAAAAAUGCCAAAAAGGGGCUCAAUUUGGGGCCAGGUAUGGAAAAGCAAGCAAGCCUGGGCAGUUGGAUUUAGGUCCUCUGGAAAUCUACACUUCCAUCCUCUCGGUUCUGGAUGAGGGUCCAGCCACCUCCAUCAGUCUCCAUGUCACAGAACACCUGUGGGGAGGUGGAACAACACACCUGGAAGCUCUUGGAGGGGCCACAAGCCAAGUCUCAGGGAGCCUAAAUGUAACUUGGCUGAACUCUGCCCUCCUCUAGCAACAGUGAACCCGAGGUCAAGGGCAUCAGGAAAGUGCAGACACACACUCCCCGCCCACUGUCAUCAUCGGUCAAGGAGGAUCUGCAGUGGAGAGCCAUGGAGAAGGCCUUCAGCUAGAGAGCUGCCAUCUAGUCUCCUGUAGAUGGCCUCUCUGCAUUCCCAGCCAUGGCUGCCCUCAAGCCCAAGCCUGCAGCUGCCUUCAAGCCAAGGACUCCCCCUGCAGAACCAGCUAGAUAGAGCUCUCCUGUUUCCCCUCUGGUCCCGGACUAGAUCCAACCUGCAGGCCCCCACUCUGUUCUCAGCUCUUCCACAGCUUCCAGCGGACACCUGGAUAGCUAAGAACCCAUUAGCCCAUCACCAGCUUCACACACCCAACUCCUGCUUCUCCUGGACUGUGUGUGAAUAAAAUAACCUGCUUUGC